rnacentral:lncRNA from 1 species
CCCCUUUUUUUAGCAUUAUAGUAAACAUUUUGAUAGCUACAUUCUGUUUUUACUCACUGCCUUCUAUUACAUCCGAUAAAAUGUGCUAGAAGCUGUGAAACAAACUCUUAUUCAAUGCAUCGCUGCUUGAAAAUUUUACUCCUUAGUUAAAGUGGUGCAUCGGGUAACAUUUGCUCCAGCUCCGCCCCUGGCGACAAGGAGGGGCCUGGCGGAGGGGUUGAUGGAGGAAGAUGAUGAUUUCAGAUUAGGGGUAGUUCUGUACUUUCCUAGCUUUUCACCUGGUCGGAGAAUCCCCCCGGCGACAACUAUUACGGUACAGAGGGAGUAGGUUGUAAGACAUGGAACAUGCUGAAGGUGAGGAAAAUUAAUAUGUAAUGGUGUUAUCGAAUUAUGUCAGGUUUUUGCUAUUUUAAUAACAUGUACACCAUCAUAAUAAGGGAAGUGAUGAUAUUGUACACUAAGCGGCUUAACAUUUCUCGGCCUCCUGUUAUCAGGACUUGCAUGGAAAAGAAGGCGGCUGAGAGGUACAGUAAGUUGAUCACCGAUGUUCUGAAGGAUUCCGUGCAGCAGUCGCAGGUUGUCGAAUGAGGUUGAGCGGGGUGUUUGAGGAGCCUUCCAUCAACUUGACAGUGGAUAUUUGAUAGCUCGCUUCUCACCGUGAAAUAGAUGAUGACUUAUAUUAUGUUCCACUUGAUCGGAUGUGCGUUGUUCUGUGUAUGAUCUACCUGAAUGCAAAAGUGCUUUUAAUGGACAUCAAGGUAUCCAAUUUCCAGCAUAUGAAAGAAUACCCUGUUUCUUUUGAUGGAGGCUAAGUACUGAAAACGGAAUCGGCAGGGCAUGAUUCAGGACUGCUGUAUACCUAGAGUGGUU